AUAACAUUGGGACCGUCGGAAUACCGAGCAAUUUCACCCGCUCGGUGGAAGAUUUUCCCAUUGUCGU
rnacentral:pre_miRNA from 1 species